rnacentral:piRNA from 1 species
UGAAAGGGAUAUCUCCUCAGAAAUCAG